UACGUAGGAGGCAAGCGUUAUCCGGAUUUACUGGGCGUAAAGAGGGAGCAGGCGGCUUUUCAAGUUGGAUGUAAAAUCUCCCGGCUCAACUGGGAGGGACCAUCCAAUACUGUUGAGCUAGAGGGCAGCAGAGGGAGGUGGAAUUCCCGGUGUAGUGGUGAAAUGCGUAGAUAUCGGGAGGAACACCAGUGGCGAAGGCGACCUCCUGGGCUGUUGCUGACGCUGAGGCCCAAAAGCGUGGGGAGCAAACAGGAUUAGAUACCCCAGUA
rnacentral:rRNA from 1 species